GGACCUCAGUAGACCCCUGCUUGUGGUAAGUGAACCAUGUAUCUGGUUUGGAUCCCUUUACUGUUUCUAUGAAUUAUAUUCAAUACUAUUCCAAAAAACACAGAACAUCUGUUGUGUGUUUUCACAGGAUUGUGCAAAAUUACAGGCUUUUGACAGAGAGAGGGUCAGGUAUGAAAAUCUUAAAUAAUCACUGCUUGGUUGUUGUUGCUGAAUGGAAAACAUUUUAUUUACUCCUAUGCAUUUGAAAGUGAGAUACCAUUGUUGUUUUUUUAAUGUCAAGCUAGUCUUCAAAAGUAAAUGAAGUCUUUACUUUUGAAGUGUGAUUUGACUUAAAUUUAUGCAGUAAGAUUAAUUUAAAGAAGAAAUAAUUCCUAUAAACACUUAUAUAGAGGUCUUCAACAACUUGGCUCCACAGAAGAAACAAAGUUGUGGAGUUGGUUUGUUUUGUUGUUAAUGUUGUUUUUUUUUUUGUUUAUUUUCAUUAAGAAGUGAACUGCCACCAUGAGUACAGACGCAGAGAUGGCCGUUUAUGGCAAAGCUGCCAUUUACCUUCGUAAGCCAGAGAAGGAGAGAAUUGAGGCUCAAAGCAAACCCUUUGAUGCCAAGAGUGCCUGUUAUGUGGCUGAUGCCAAGGAGCUUUACCUGAAGGGAACCAUUAUCAGUAAAGAUGGUGGCAAAGUCGUUGUCAAAGUCCUGGACACUCAGGAGGUUAGUAUCUUGAAGUCAGAGUCAUAUUCUCCUUGAAGUGAUCUGUUCUCAUUCUGACAACCUUCCUGUUACAGGAGAGGACAGUCAAAGAAGAUGACGUCUCUCCAAUGAAUCCUCCCAAGUUCGACAAAAUUGAGGACAUGGCCAUGAUGACCCAUCUCAAUGAAGCCUCUGUGCUUUAUAACCUCAAAGAGCGUUAUGCAGCAUGGAUGAUCUACGUAAGGAAAUAAGGCUGAUAACAAAUGAAAAUGUUUUCACUUAUAUAUUCAUGUGUGAAGUACUGAGAUCACAAUCUUUCUUCCCACUUUCAGACCUACUCUGGCUUGUUCUGUGCCACCGUGAAUCCCUACAAGUGGCUCCCAGUGUACGAUUCUGAAGUUGUGUCUGCCUACAGAGGCAAGAAGCGUAUGGAGGCUCCACCCCACAUCUUCUCUGUCUCUGACAACGCUUAUCAGUUCAUGCUUACUGGUAAGAAACAACAGCAAAAAAUGACUCAAUCUAUUAAUUGAAGUUUCUACCGGAAGGAAACAUAAUGUAUUAUUUUACCUGUCAACAGAUAGGGAGAACCAGUCUGUCUUGAUCACGUAAGUUUAAUUUUUUUUUUCUUGUUUUAUGUAUAAAUACUUGAUGAAAUAUUGACAAAAUGCUAACAAGGGAUUUUCUAUGCCUAGUGGAGAAUCUGGUGCUGGAAAGACUGUGAACACCAAGCGUGUCAUCCAGUACUUUGCAACAAUCUCAGUUGGUGGAGACCAGAAGAAGAAGGAACCAUCAAAGAUGGGAGUAUGUACAAAUUUAAUGGUUACAGCUCUGUGUUAUUUAAUGUCAUUAAAUUAAAAUAUUAAAAAAGCUCAUUUUCUGAUAUCACUUGGAAAUCUCCAUUUCAGGGUUCACUUGAGGACCAGAUUAUUGCAGCCAAUCCUCUGCUGGAGGCCUAUGGUAAUGCCAAAACUGUGAGAAAUGACAACUCCUCUCGUUUUGUAAGUAUUGAGAGAACUUUUGCAUAUCAAAAUGGUCUUGUCAAACAUUGCCUAUGUUCAUGAAUGUUUAAUGAAACUUUCUCCUGGACAGGGUAAAUUUAUCAGAAUUCAUUUCGGCACAACUGGCAAACUGUCUAGUGCUGAUAUUGAGACAUGUAAGUGUGAAAAUUCUCUUAUACAUUCUUGUAACAAGAAUCACAAUUUGGCCAGGAUUUGACUCAUGAACAAUGUUUGUAGAUCUGCUGGAGAAGUCUAGAGUGACAUUCCAGCUUCCUGAUGAAAGAGGCUACCACAUCUUCUACCAGAUGAUGACCAACCACAAACCUGAGCUGAUUGGUAUACACAUUUUUUUUCUCAAUGUUACUCCUGAGUCUCAUACAAAACAAAACUGACCUCAUCCUUCUUUUUUUUUUUUUCCAGAAAUGUCCCUCAUCACAACCAACCCCUACGACUUCCCCAUGUGCAGCAUGGGUCAGAUCACUGUGGCCAGUAUUGAUGACAAAGUUGAGCUGGAAGCCACUGAUGUGAGUGAACUGUGAUCUUCACUACAAAAUAGUUACAUUUUGUAAAUGACAACACCCAAGGUACUCUGCAUUAAAAUUACUUACAUUCAUUUGGACACUUGUAUCAAAUACAGAAUGCUAUUGAUAUCCUGGGCUUCAGUAAUGAGGAGAAGAUGAGCAUCUACAAGAUGACUGGUGCUGUGCUCCACCAUGGUAACAUGAAGUUCAAACAGAAGCAGCGUGAGGAGCAGGCUGAGCCUGAUGGCACAGAGGGUGAGUUCUGCUGUUAACUUUAAGUUAGAGGUUUUUAUUCUGGCUAGUCUUCUAGACAAUGGAAACCACAUGCCGUAUCACUGAAAGUCACUUGAUUAUUGUCAGAUGCCGACAAGGUUGCCUACUUGCUGGGUCUGAACUCUGCUGAUAUGCUGAAGGCUCUGUGCUACCCCAGAGUGAAGGUCGGAAAUGAGUUUGUCACCAAGGGACAGACUGUACCUCAGGUAAUCACGGAUCUCUGAUAUCUAGUAAACUAUGCACCCAAGAAUGAAGUUAUAAAGGUCUUGCUUAAGUAGUAUUCUUUUUCAUGUCAUUUUAAAUAAUUCUUUGGGGGGUUGUUAGUGUCAUUCAGCCCAUGAACAGACACUAGGUAAAACUGGUAUUGUAAAUGAAGUGUUUACCUGGCUUGAAUUACAUGAUACCUUUGUUUUAUUUAGGUGCUGAACUCAGUGACUGCCCUGGCCAAGUCUAUCUAUGAGAGGAUGUUCUUGUGGAUGGUCAUCCGCAUCAACCAGAUGUUGGACACUAAACAGCCAAGACAGUUCUUCAUUGGUGUGCUGGAUAUUGCUGGCUUUGAAAUCUUUGAUGUAAGAUUCAUUCCAAACAAUUCAGGAUCUAAUCCUUUCUAAACUUUUCUCAAGGGUAUCAGUCCUUUUUUCUUUCAUCCCAAAAAACAUCAAUCAUCUAUUUUUCUCCCUUUACAGUUCAACAGCAUGGAGCAGCUGUGCAUCAACUUCACCAAUGAGAAGCUGCAACAGUUCUUCAACCACCACAUGUUCGUCCUGGAGCAAGAGGAGUACAAGAAGGAGGGUAUUAUCUGGGAGUUCAUUGACUUCGGUAUGGACUUGGCUGCCUGUAUUGAGCUGAUUGAGAAGGUAAUGAUUACAUUCAGUGACUAUGUAAUUCUGUCGGUUUCACUCACUGUACAUGCAAAAUAUUUACUUUUGUCAUCUUUUUCAAGCCCAUGGGCAUCUUCUCCAUCCUUGAAGAGGAGUGCAUGUUCCCCAAGGCUACAGACACAUCCUUCAAGAACAAGCUGUAUGACCAGCAUCUUGGCAAGAACAGAGCAUUUGAGAAGCCCAAGCCCGCCAAGGGCAAGGCUGAGGCCCACUUCUCCCUGGUUCACUAUGCUGGUACUGUGGACUACAAUAUCGCUGGCUGGCUGGACAAGAACAAGGAUCCACUGAACGAUUCUGUUGUUCAGCUGUACCAGAAGUCUUCCGUUAAGCUGCUGUCUCAUCUCUAUCCUCCUGUUGUUGAGGGUAAGAUGUAAUUAAGUGUUAGGUGCAUUUCUGACUAGCUGUGGUAUACUUUAAAACAAUUUGUAAGACUACAUUUAACUUUGUGUUUUUAAUUUAUCAACAGAGACUGGUGGCGGCAAGAAAGGAGGCAAGAAGAAGGGUGGUUCCAUGCAGACUGUGUCUUCACAGUUUAGGGUAAGGAUUCAUAUUUUAAACUUGUAUCAUAUAUCAAAUCUCAUAAUUGAACUAUGACAAGAUAUAACAUCUUGGAUCCACAGGAGAACUUGGGCAAGCUGAUGACCAACUUGAGGAGCACCCAUCCUCACUUUGUGCGUUGUCUGAUUCCCAACGAGUCAAAGACUCCAGGUAUAUACACAAAACAUAUGCCAGUAACUUUUUUAAAGUACAGUUUUGUUGUUCCAUGUUGGAAAAUUUUGAAUUAUAACAGAAAGUCUGACUUUAUUUUAAUUCCUUUUAAAGGUCUGAUGGAGAACUUCCUGGUCAUCCACCAGCUCAGGUGUAAUGGUGUGCUGGAGGGUAUCAGAAUCUGCAGAAAAGGUUUCCCCAGCAGAAUCCUCUAUGGUGACUUCAAGCAGAGGUAUCAAUGGAUUAAAUAGAGAUUUGGUUCAGGGGGGCUUUAAGGCAAUACUGACACUGACAAUGGGCUCUCUCAUUAUAGAUACAAGGUGCUGAAUGCCAGUGUCAUCCCUGAGGGCCAGUUCAUUGAUAACAAGAAGGCUUCAGAGAAGCUGCUUGGAUCAAUUGAUGUUGAUCAUGACCAGUACAGAUUUGGACACACCAAGGUACUUUGAUAACUUAGGGUCUUUACUCAAGAGGUUAAGUUUUCUCAAUGAGCUUUUCAAUUUUACUCUGUUGAUUAAAUGUGUAUAUAGUUUGUAAAACAAAUUGCUAAAAAAAAAUUAAGAACAUCACAAAGUCUUUCAAAGUUCAGAUAGGUUUCAAGUUUUUUCAAGAAAAUGUUUUUUGUUUUGCUGCAGUUUAAAAUUCAAUUCAUUGCUUUGGCUUGAUGUUUGCUCUUAAGAUAUUUUGAUUCUUUUUUUUUUUGAUUAGGUGUUCUUCAAGGCUGGUCUCCUGGGUACCCUUGAGGAGAUGAGAGAUGAAAAACUGGCAAGUUUGGUCACCAUGACUCAGGCUCUCUGCCGUGGCUACCUGAUGAGAAAGGAGUUUGUGAAGAUGAUGGAGAGGAGGCAUGUUCAAAACGAUUGUGCUGAAUUAGAUUAUGGACGAGUAAAAAACUACAUUGUAACAGCAGCUUUUUGUCCACAGAGAAGCCAUCUAUACCAUCCAGUACAAUGUCCGCUCAUUCAUGAAUGUCAAACACUGGCCAUGGAUGAAGGUCUACUACAAGAUCAAGCCUCUGCUGAAGAGUGCUGAAACUGAGAAGGAGCUGGCCCAGAUGAAGGAGAACUAUGGGAAAAUGCAGACAGACCUGGCUGCUGCCCUGGCAAAGAAGAAGGAGCUGGAGGAGAAGAUGGUGUCCCUCCUGCAGGAGAAGAACGAUCUGCAGCUGCAAGUCGCAUCUGUAAGUCUGCAAUUAUGUCAUGUUUGAUUCUGUCAAAAUAAUGUAGAUCUGCUAAUCAAUGCUUCACAUUACAAACUAGGAAACAGAGAAUCUGUCAGAUGCUGAGGAGAGGUGUGAGGGUCUUAUCAAGAGUAAGAUUCAGCUGGAGGCCAAGCUCAAAGAGACAACUGAAAGACUGGAGGAUGAGGAGGAAAUCAAUGCUGAGCUCACUGCCAAAAAGAGGAAGUUGGAGGAUGAAUGCUCUGAGCUCAAGAAGGACAUCGAUGACCUGGAGCUUACCUUGGCCAAAGUGGAGAAGGAGAAACAUGCCACUGAGAACAAGGUCUGGGGAAAAACAAAUAUCUCACAUGUCAAAUAAAAUCAGGACAUUGCCACAUAGUACUAAAAAUAUUUUACUCACAAAUUUAGGUGAAGAACCUGACUGAAGAGAUGGCCUCUCAGGAUGAGAGCAUUGCCAAGUUGACCAAGGAAAAGAAAGCCCUUCAGGAGGCUCAUCAGCAGACCCUUGAUGAUCUGCAGGCUGAGGAAGACAAGGUCAACACUCUGACCAAGGCCAAGACUAAGCUUGAGCAGCAAGUGGACGAUGUAAGUUUUUUAUAUGUCACUAUGCUAAACAAUUAAUAUGGAAGAAGAACCUGGUCUUUAAGAACAUAUAUUACCGUUUAGCUUGAAGGUUCUCUGGAGCAAGAGAAGAAGCUGCGCAUGGACCUUGAGAGAGCCAAGAGAAAGCUUGAGGGUGAUCUCAAACUGGCUCAAGAAUCCAUCAUGGACCUUGAGAAUGACAAGCAGCAAUCUGAGGAGAAAAUGAAGAAGUAAUGUUCUUGACAUUAAAUCAAAAGAAUACAACUAGAUCAUCAACAACAGCAAAAACUCCAACUAUGAAUUUUUCUGUUAUCCCCACAGGAAGGACUUUGAGAUCAGCCAGCUCCUCAGCAAGAUUGAGGAUGAGCAGUCAAUGGGUGCUCAGCUUCAGAAGAAGAUCAAGGAGCUCCAGGUGACAUACUCACUCACUUAAAAUAUAUAUACAAAUGCUCAGUUCUUGGGUACAAAUUUACUGAAAGACAAUAUGCUUUCAUUACACAGGCCCGCAUUGAGGAACUGGAAGAGGAGAUUGAAGCAGAGCGCGCAGCUCGUGCCAAGGUUGAGAAGCAGAGGGCUGAUCUCUCCAGGGAACUUGAGGAGAUCAGUGAGAGGCUGGAGGAAGCUGGUGGUGCCACCGCUGCUCAGAUUGAGAUGAACAAGAAGCGCGAAGCUGAGUUCCAGAAGCUCCGUCGUGAUCUUGAGGAGUCCACUCUGCAGCAUGAAGCCACUGCUGCCGCUCUUCGUAAGAAACAGGCUGACAGCGUUGCUGAGCUGGGAGAACAGAUCGACAAUCUCCAGCGUGUCAAGCAGAAGCUUGAGAAGGAAAAGAGUGAAUACAAGAUGGAAAUUGAUGACCUCUCCAGCAACAUGGAGGCUGUUGCCAAAGCAAAGGUACAAAAGACAAUGGAUGUUAAAAUUAGUGCAUUGAACAAGGUCAUUUAUGUUACAUCUGAUCAUUGAUUUGACUUGUCUUUGUCUCUUCAGGGAAAUCUUGAAAAGAUGUGCCGUACCCUUGAGGACCAACUCAGUGAAAUUAAGACCAAGAAUGACGAAAAUGUCCGUCAAAUCAAUGACCUUGGUGCACAGAAAGCACGUCUCCUGACAGAAAAUGGUAGCUACAAGUUACAACUGGAUAAUUUGAGUAUUUCAUAUUGUUGAAAUAUAACACAAACUAAUGUUUCACUGCACCUCUCUAACAAGGUGAGUUUGGCCGCCAAAUUGAAGAGAAGGAGGCUCUUGUCUCCCAGCUGACCAGAGGCAAACAGGCUUUCACUCAGCAGAUUGAGGAGCUGAAGAGACAGAUUGAAGAGGAGGUUAAGGUAAGAAAACUUAUAUCAAGUGGAUUUAUAUUUUUGUAUGUGCGCUUCUGAAACAGGUAUUAAAAAGUAUUUGAUAUCUGACAUCAGGCCAAGAAUGCUCUUGCCCAUGGACUGCAAUCAGCCCGUCAUGACUGUGAUCUGCUGAGGGAGCAGUUUGAGGAGGAGCAGGAGGCUAAGGCUGAGCUGCAGCGUGGAAUGUCCAAAGCUAACAGCGAAGUGGCUCAGUGGAGAACCAAGUAUGAAACUGAUGCCAUCCAGCGCACAGAGGAACUGGAAGAAUCCAAGUGAGUCUAUAUCAAGCAAACUGAUAUACAUCAAAAUAACUGUUAUGAAAGUUACUUUCAGUCAGUCAAGAUAUUGACUCACCAACUCACCAACUUCAUCCUCUCAACACAGGAAAAAGCUUGCCCAGCGCCUUCAGGAGGCUGAGGAGCAGAUUGAGGCUGUCAAUUCCAAGUGUGCCUCUCUGGAGAAAACCAAACAGAGACUCCAGAGUGAGGUGGAGGACCUCAUGAUUGAUGUGGAGAGAGCUAAUGGCCUGGCUGCCAACCUGGACAAGAAGCAGAGGAACUUUGACAAGGUAGUAUUUACUGUUGCAACCUUAAUUCAAUUAAAUGGGUAGUCAUAGCCAUUGACUCGACCAGUUGCUAAGAUAACUUGUUGCACUUCAGGUGUUGGCAGAGUGGAAACAGAAGUUUGAGGAGGGUCAGGCAGAGCUUGAGGGAGCUCAAAAGGAGGCUCGUUCUCUCAGCACUGAGCUGUUCAAGAUGAAGAACUCAUAUGAGGAGGCUCUGGAUCAACUGGAGACCAUGAAGCGUGAAAACAAGAACCUGCAGCGUAAGUUAUCACUUUGUACUCCAGACAUUCUGUUGAUAAAGUGUGUUCCUUUUGUAUUCAAUGCUCACUUUGUAUUUUGAGGCUUAACAACACAAAACAUUCAAAUACCUCUGCAGAGGAGAUCUCAGAUCUGACUGAACAGAUCGGUGAGACUGGCAAGAGCAUCCAUGAGCUGGAGAAGGCCAAGAAGCAGGUGGAGACUGAGAAGUCUGAGAUUCAGACUGCUCUUGAAGAGGCUGAGGUAUGUGUUGGUUCAGGAGAAAUCUCCUCUGAGGAAUCUAAAAUAAUUCCAGUGUAGAAUGAUAUGUUAUGAGAGGCAUGAGUGUUGAGAUUAAAGACUUACUUUCCAUUUUCAUUAGGGAACCCUGGAACAUGAAGAGUCCAAGAUCCUCCGCGUCCAGCUGGAGCUCAACCAGAUCAAGGGUGAGGUGGACAGGAAGCUGGCAGAAAAAGAUGAGGAAACAGAGCAGAUCAAGAGGAACAGCCAGAGGGUGAUUGACUCCAUGCAGAGCACUUUGGACUCUGAGGUCAGGAGCAGGAAUGAUGCCCUGAGAAUCAAGAAGAAGAUGGAGGGAGACCUGAAUGAGAUGGAGAUUCAGCUGAGCCAUGCCAAUCGCCAGGCUUCUGAGUCCCAGAAGCAGCUGAGGAACGUGCAGGCACAGCUGAAGGUACUGCUGCACAUAUAGACUGUGCAGAGAUUAUGGUCAUCAUACUUUUGUGUGGCAAGCCAUCUUCAUAUUUUCUUUACAUUUCUCACUAGGAUGCCCAACUGCACCUUGAUGAUGCUGUCAGAGCCCAGGAUGACCUCAAGGAACAAGCAGCUAUGGUAGAGCGCAGGAAUGGCCUCAUGAUUGCUGAAAUUGAGGAACUCAGAGCUGCUCUGGAACAGACAGAGAGAAGCCGCAAAGUGGCUGAGCAGGAGCUGGUGGACGCAAGUGAGCGUGUUGGACUUCUGCACUCACAGGUACUUUCCUUUGAGUUUCACUACUUCAACGUUUAUCAUUAUUUCACGGGGAACAGUAAUGGUACAUUAUUCUUUCUUUUUCUUUCAGAACACAAGCCUUCUGAACACCAAGAAGAAGCUGGAGACUGACCUGGUCCAGAUUCAGAGUGAAGUGGAUGACACUGUUCAGGAAGCAAGGAAUGCUGAGGAUAAGGCCAAGAAGGCCAUCACUGAUGUAGGUGUUCUUGAAGUGUGGGACAUAGUGACUGAUCAGUGGGUGUUUUUACAAUAUUUCUUAUCAGUGAUUUUGUUUCCUCUAGGCUGCUAUGAUGGCUGAGGAGCUGAAGAAAGAGCAGGAUACUAGUGCUCACCUGGAGAGAAUGAAGAAGAACCUUGAGGUUGCUGUCAAGGACCUGCAGCACCGCCUGGAUGAGGCUGAGAACCUGGCCAUGAAGGGUGGCAAGAAGCAGCUCCAGAAACUUGAGUCUAGGGUAUGAAAGUUGUGUUUACAGUAAAACAGUUUACAGUUUGAAAUAAUUUAUAUUGAUAUAUUCAAUGUUUUUCUGUUGUGUGAAGGUGCGUGAGCUGGAAGGUGAAGUUGAGGGUGAGCAGAGACGUGGAGCUGAUGCUGUUAAGGGUGUCCGCAAAUAUGAGAGGAGGGUGAAGGAGCUCACCUAUCAGGUAUUGUCCCAUCAUUAUUUCAUAUUUAAAUAUAAUUUGGUAAAAUAUAAGAAUAAUUUGAAAUGAUUAGAAACACAAAUUUUCUAUUUCUAUAAAAGACUGAGGAGGAUAAGAAAAAUAUUAGCAGGCUUCAGGAUCUGGUUGACAAGCUGCAGCUCAAGGUGAAGGCCUACAAGAGGCAGGCUGAGGAAGCGGUAAGGAUCCAUCAAUUCAAUAUAUGUGUCAACAAAAACAUAUAUUCAUAUAUAUAUAUAAGUUCAUCAGCCAUUUGUACAUUUCAAAAAUCUCUACUUAUUCUUCCUUUUAAAGGAGGAGCAGGCCAAUGUUCAUCUGUCCAAGUGCAGAAAGAUCCAGCAUGAGCUGGAGGAGGCUGAGGAGCGUGCUGACAUCGCAGAGUCUCAGGUUAACAAACUGAGAGCAAAGAGCCGUGAUUCUGGCAAGGUAAACUAAUAUUCAGAAAUCCAAAAAUUUAUGAAAAAUAAAAAUAGCUAGAUUUACCUCAACUAAUGUUUGUAUCCAUGUAUUCGUGUAUGAAGUGUACAUAUUGAACAAUCUGUUUUUUAUUUUAUUUUACAGGGAAAAGAAUCAGCUGAGUAGAGCUUUCCUGCUGACAGGUUGUUUCUAAUCAUAUAAUAUGAUGUGAAAAGAACCAUAAUAAAAUAUUUUUUGAUCUUAAAUGCAUUGUGUUAUGUUAUUUAUAUUCUGUUCUCAAAGAGAAGUACAUUUAAAAUUCUAAAAUUUUAGUAAACAGUUUCUAUCACAGAUGGUAGCUUAGACAUAAGGAGGUGUGGCGAAUGGUUGAGGUUUUUUAAGGGUUCAACAAUGGACUUAAAUUGAAUAAUAACACUGAACAUUUUAUCAUGUUACAUUUUUCCUGGUAAUCAUACAAAUCUCUAAAAAACUUGAUGAUUUUGUAAAGGAUCAGUUGUAAUCAACUAAUGACAAAACUACCUGUAAUCUUUGGUUUAAUAAUCACUCUAAGAUUUUACAACCAUCAUUUUGCUUAAACAUACUUAAAGGUGGGGUAGGCAGGAAUCUGUCAAAGAAGCAACUUUUUUCUAAUGUAUAUACAAAAAAGCUUUUAAUAUCAAUCAAUAGCUAUUAGUUAUUGAAGACAUUUGAGGAUAUUACAGCAUUGCUGUGUUCUCUUAUGCCUGUGUAGUCAACAUUCAAAAAAUCUUGAGCAUCACGCUCAUUCUGACUGUAAACAAAGUCGUUCUUCGCCUCUCCAACCUGAUUGGUUGUGAGGCGGAUUCCGCUUCCUCGUGCUGAUUGGUUAUGAGGCACACUCCACGCCCUCAAAUAAUGUGCAAACCCAAACAAAGUUGGCGUGCAACAAUACCAGACAGUACAAACCAGUCAUAAAGUACAGAAAAAUGUCUGAAUCCUCCUUUGGCCAUGACUGCCUACACAAGCAAGAAAAUGAAAUAAAUCCUGGAGAAUCUGGCGUAACAAUUGGUGCUUAAAAAGAGGUAGACCACCCAAACAAGAGGUAAAAAGCCAGGUCUACAUUAAGACUUCUAACCCAGGCCUGGGAAUGUAAAUAUCAGAAAACUCUCUACAAUCUUACAUCUAGAAACAGUUAACCUCAUUUUAUUUCUGUGAAACAAUCACAUUAGUCAUGCAUACCGGAUCAUCUGUCAGUCUCUGAGUUUGAGGCUCUCCACAAGAUCCUCCAGUGCCAAAGCACAGGGAUCUUUGUCUCUUUGUUGAUCUCUCCUCCAGUUUCUGACUCUACCAUAGCCACGAGCCAAGGCUUUGCUGUCCAGCUUGUGAUGGCCUGCCUCUGGGACCUUCUCUACCUUACCAUGCUGUGACUGGGCCUGGGGUGUACUCAUCCUUACAGUCAGGGCUAGCAUCCUUAAAAAAAAACACCAGAGAGAGUUGUACUGUUUUUGAUUUGCCACAGUCUGCUUUUGUAAGCCUUGUAUGCAGGAAAGGUAACUGCUGUGGCUAAUUCUAAUGUUGGUAGAAACAGCUCACCAGCUCAGAUGGUAUACGUUAAACUAUACGAAUGAACCGUCGUUUCAGUGUGACAUUUGCAAAACAGUUACAUAGUGCAAAGAAGGGUGUCUGACUAACAUGAUUCAACACCUUUGGAUUCAUGGAGUAGAAACAACUGAGAGCACCGUCUUUUACAGAGCACAUUUGACUUAUUAAACAGAGCAAUAUGUUCUUUGUCUGAGUGGACUUGCCGUUGUGUGACGUCUUCAACAGGCGCUGGGGCCCAAGCACAUCUGGUACAUACACCGGUCUUCCGCUAACCAGUCAGAAUCAGAUGUGUGAAACAAUAAAUUACAUCCAACUAACAUUAUCCCGUAUACUUUUUCAUAAACAAACAACCUAACAACAAAGACUGAUAUUUAUAUACCUGUUGAAAAUAGACCUGCGAGAAAUUGAUAGUAAUGUUCAUAAAAAGUUCAUAUACUUUCAGAGAUUUCAUCCAAAAGAACUCUGGUUAGCGCUCUCAUUUUAAACAUGCAUUGUUGUAUUAUUAUGUUAUGUUUUCUGUCUUUUUUUACUGCAACAUAUACCAAACUAAAACUUUUUUUACUUCAACUUACCACCAAUUCAAAGCUUAACACUUAAAAAUUCAGACCCUUUAAUGAUGCAAAUGUCCUACCACCAGCCUUGUUGAAGUCUCUGUCUUACGUCAUGAACAUAUGCCUCAUGUCCGCUGAAAGAAGAAAAUAUGAAACAAAAAAGUUAUUUAGACUGAUCAUAAACUAAAGAUGGGAAAUAACUUACAAUAAAAUGCAUCUUAUUUUUCUUACUGCUAUACCUGUGAUCCUGGCUGGCACCUCUGCUGUCCUUUACUACUCUGUUCUUCAAUCUUUUAUUCUCAACCCUUUUUCAUCUGCUGUGUGUCCGCUUUUGCUUUCUCAGAAAGUUUGUGAGUGAUUUCCAUUUCUGUUCAUUUUUUCCCCUCACUUUCUCUUCACUCCUUCCUCUCCUUUGUCUUCCUCACUCUUUAAAUACCUUUCAGAGCUGCCCUCUUGUCUUGUCAUGCCUCCUCUUCUGCUUUUGAAUGUUAUAGGUCACCUCCUGUCUUUUCCUCUUCACUCACUCAUGAACUGUAGUUCAAAAAUAACUAUUUACAAAUAAAACCUAUGAAACAUCCAGAUAUAUUGUGUUUGUAACAAAUAGCCAUUUGACGCCCUCUCCUUUUCACUCUCCUGCCCUAUGUUUUUUAGUUAUUUUUUAUUGUUCACAUGGUCUUAUCCAAAAAAUAUAGACAUACAAUGUUUUAUUAGAUAGAUAUUGACUUCAUUGUUUAGGAACACAUUCAGGAGCACUAAGCAAUGAGACCAUGGUUUUAAUGUAAUAGCAGGAUUUUAAGUGCUGAAGGUCUAGUAUCACAGAUAAAGUAAGAAAAAUUAUUCAUAAGCCUUCAUCGGUGAUGAAUUAUGUUUGGGAUACAACUAUUAUUGGCACACUUAUUACCCUUUAACAUUAACAUGUAUCGAUUUUCACACUGGAUUACUCAAAUAAAAUCUUGUGUCUCAUGUACUUAGGUCAGAUGUACACAGAUUUUUGAAAUUACCCCAGCUUAUGUCUGUAAAGCAUGUCUGAGGUUUCAGAGCUAAAAAUAUCUCCUUGAAGUAAUGAUCAAGCUUAAGUCUAAUACUAGCCACACAUACUGAAACCUGACACAUCAGAUGUAUAUUCUGUCGACAAGUGUUAGAUUAUAUGGUCCACAUAAGUCUGUAUCACCAUACCACAUUUGGAAAGCAAUCCACAUUUAACUUGAGAUGUGUCAGCAAAAUCCAAUACAAUAUAAGUAGUGCUCUAGGAACACUACCACAGCAGACCUGUCAGCUCCUGUUUGUGGUAAGACUACUUUCCUUAAUCCCUGUGACCAGGCCAGCUUGUCUUUGACAAAUGAUUAAACUUCAGUUUUUGCAUUACUUUGUAAACCUGUGAUUGUACACCUACUAUGAUGUAUCUAAAAUAAGUUUUCUGAACAGGAUUGGUGAAUACUAUACAGGGAGUGGGGGUCAGGUAAGAAAAUCUUGCAUUGUUUUUAAACCACAGACUUUCCCAAUGGACAUGUUUCUUUUGAAAGAUGAUAUCAAGCUCUUAAAGUAUUAAUUUGCUCUGACUAAGAAAGCAUUUCGUUUAUUUUAAUCUACAAAGACAAAGCUGCCAUCAUGAGUACGGACGCAGAGAUGGCCGUUUAUGGCAAAGCUGCCAUUUACCUUCGUAAGCCAGAGAAGGAGAGAAUUGAGGCUCAAAGCAAACCCUUUGAUGCCAAGGCUGCCUGUUAUGUGGCUGAUACCAAGGAGCUUUACCUGAAGGGAACCAUUAUCAGUAAAGAUGGUGGCAAAGUCGUUGUCAAAGUCCUGGACACUCAGGAGGUUAGUAUCUUGAAGUCAGAGUCAUAUUCUCCUUGAAGUGAUCUGUUCUCAUUUUGACAACCUUCCUGUUACAGGAGAGGACAGUCAAAGAAGAUGACGUCUCUCCAAUGAAUCCUCCCAAGUUCGACAAAAUUGAGGACAUGGCCAUGAUGACCCAUCUCAAUGAAGCCUCUGUGCUUUAUAACCUCAAAGAGCGUUAUGCAGCAUGGAUGAUCUACGUAAGGAAAUAAGGCUGAUAACAAAUGAAAAUGUUUUCACUGAUAUAUUCAUGUGUGAAGUACUGAGAUCACAAUCUUUCUUCCCACUUUCAGACCUACUCUGGCUUGUUCUGUGCCACCGUGAAUCCCUACAAGUGGCUCCCAGUGUACGAUUCUGAAGUUGUAGCUGCCUACAGAGGCAAGAAGCGUAUGGAGGCUCCACCCCACAUCUUCUCUGUCUCUGACAACGCUUAUCAGAACAUGCUUACUGGUAAGAAACAACAGCAAAAAAUGACUCAAUCUAUUAAUUGAAGUUUCUACCGGAAGGAAACAUAAUGUAUUAUUUUACCUGUCAACAGAUAGGGAGAACCAGUCUGUCUUGAUCACGUAAGUUUAAUUUUUUUUUCCUUAUUUCAUUUUGAAAUACUCACAAAAAUAUUGACCAAAUACUAACAAGAGACUUUCUACACCUAGUGGAGAAUCUGGUGCUGGAAAGACUGUGAACACCAAGCGUGUCAUCCAGUACUUUGCAACAAUCUCAGUUGGUGGAGAGCAGAAGAAGAAGGAACCAUCAAAGAUGGGAGUAUGUACAAAUUUAAUGGUUACAGCUCUGUGUUAUUUAAUGUCAUUAAAUUAAAAUAUUAAAAAAGCUCAUUUUCUGAUAUCACUUGGAAAUCUCCAUUUCAGGGUUCACUUGAGGACCAGAUUAUUGCAGCCAAUCCUCUGCUGGAGGCCUAUGGUAAUGCCAAAACUGUGAGAAAUGACAACUCCUCUCGUUUUGUAAGUAUUGAGGGAACUUUUGCAUAUCAAAAUGGUCUUGUCAAACAUUGCCUAUGUUCAUGAAUGUUUAAUGAAACUUUCUCCUGGACAGGGUAAAUUCAUCAGAAUUCAUUUCGGCACAAGUGGCAAACUGGCUAGUGCUGAUAUUGAGACAUGUAAGUGUGAAAAUUCUCUUAUACAUUCUUGUAACAAGAAUCACAAUUUGGCCAGGAUUUGACUCAUGAACAAUGUUUGUAGAUCUGCUGGAGAAGUCUAGAGUGACAUUCCAGCUUCCUGAUGAAAGAGGCUACCACAUCUUCUACCAGAUGAUGACCAACCACAAACCUGAGCUGAUUGGUAUACACAUUUUUUUUUCUCAAUGUUACUCCUGAGUCUCAUACAAAACAAAACUGACCUCAUCCUUCUUUUUUUUUUUUUUUCCAGAAAUGUCCCUCAUCACAACCAACCCCUACGACUUCCCCAUGUGCAGCAUGGGUCAGAUCACUGUGGCCAGUAUUGAUGACAAAGUUGAGCUGGAAGCCACUGAUGUGAGUGAACUGUGAUCUUCACUACAAAAUAGUUACAUUUUGUAAAUGACAACACCCAAGGUACUCUGCAUUAAAAUUACUUACAUUCAUUUGGACACUUGUAUCAAAUACAGAAUGCUAUUGAUAUCCUGGGCUUCACUAAUGAGGAGAAGAUGAGCAUCUACAAGCUGACUGGUGCUGUGCUUCACCAUGGUAACAUGAAGUUCAAGCAGAAGCAGCGUGAGGAGCAGGCUGAGCCUGAUGGCACAGAGGGUGAGUUCUGCUGUUCACUUUAAGUUAGAGGUUUUUAUUCUGGCUAGUCUUCUAUCAUGGCAGACAAUGGAAACCACAUGCCGUAUCACUGAAAGUCAUUUGAUUAUUGUCAGAUGCCGACAAGGUUGCCUACUUGCUGGGUCUGAACUCUGCUGAUAUGCUGAAGGCUCUGUGCUACCCCAGAGUGAAGGUCGGAAAUGAGUAUGUCACCAAGGGACAGACUGUACCUCAGGUAAUCAUGGAUCUCUGAUAUCUAGUAAACCAUGCACCCAGGAAUGAAGUUAUCAAGGUCUUGCUUAAGUAGUAUUUUAAAUCAUGUUUUGUUUUCUGAGGUUUUUUUUGUUUUUGUUUGUUUGUUUGUUUGUUUGUUUGUUUUUGUAGAGUUUGAAUUCACUGAGAUUUUAUGAGAUUGAUACAUGAAUUACUUGGUGCAAAUUAUUUCACUUAUUGGACAUGAAUGGAGGACAGUUUUUCAUGCAAUUUUAAGUUAUUCUUUGGGGGGUCUUAAGUGUGAUUCAUCACAUUGACAGAAAUUAGGUUAACUUAUUAUUUUUGGUGUUUUAAAUGAAUUUUUAGCUGGCUCAAAUAUAAUUUCUAUGUUUUAUUCAGGUGCUGAACUCAGUGACUGCCCUGGCCAAGUCUGUCUAUGAGAGGAUGUUCUUGUGGAUGGUCAUCCGCAUCAACCAGAUGUUGGACACUAAACAGUCAAGACAGUUCUUCAUUGGUGUGCUGGAUAUUGCUGGUUUUGAAAUCUUUGAUGUAAGAUUCAUACUAAACAAUUCAGGAUCUAAUUCACUUUUCCCAAGGGUAUCAGUCCUUUUUUCUUUCACCCCAAAAAAACAUCAAUCAUCUAUUUUUCUCCCUUUACAGUUCAACAGCAUGGAGCAGCUGUGCAUCAACUUCACCAAUGAGAAGCUGCAACAGUUCUUCAACCACCACAUGUUCGUCCUGGAGCAAGAGGAGUACAAGAAGGAGGGUAUUAUCUGGGAGUUCAUUGACUUCGGUAUGGACUUGGCUGCCUGCAUUGAGCUGAUUGAGAAGGUAAUGAUUACAUUUAGUGAUUAUGUAAUUCUGUCAGUUUCACUCAUUGUACAUGCAAAAUAUUUACUUUUGUCAUUUUUUUCAAGCCCAUGGGCAUCUUCUCCAUCCUUGAAGAGGAGUGCAUGUUCCCCAAGGCCACAGACACAUCCUUCAAGAACAAGCUGUAUGACCAGCAUCUUGGCAAGAACAGAGCAUUUGAGAAGCCCAAGCCCGCCAAGGGCAAGGCUGAGGCCCACUUCUCCCUGGUUCACUAUGCUGGUACUGUGGACUACAACAUUGGUGGCUGGCUGGACAAGAACAAGGAUCCACUGAACGAUUCUGUCGUUCAGCUGUACCAGAAGUCUUCCGUUAAGCUGCUGCCUGUUCUCUAUCCUCCAGUUGUUGAGGGUAUGGUUAUUAUAAUAUUAACUGUCAAAACAUGAUAAAGUUAUUUUUUUUACAAACUUGAUGACGGCAAAUGGUUUGGAUGUGCAGUUUUAACAGUUUCCUCUAAAAUGUAUCAACAGAGACUGGUGGCGGCAAGAAGGGAGGCAAGAAGAAGGGUGGUUCUAUGCAGACUGUGUCUUCACAGUUUAGGGUAAGGAUUCACAUUUUAAACUUGUAUCAUGGAUCAAAUCUCAUAAUUGAACUAUGACAAGAUAUAACAUCUUGGAUCCACAGGAGAACUUGGGCAAGCUGAUGACCAACUUGAGGAGCACCCAUCCUCACUUUGUGCGUUGUCUGAUUCCCAACGAGUCAAAGACUCCAGGUAUAUACACAAAACAUAUGCCAGUAACUUUUUUGAAGUACAGUUUUGUUGUUUCAUGUUGGAAAAUUUUGAAUUAUAACAGAAAGUCUGACUUCAUUUUAAUUCCUUUUAAAGGUCUGAUGGAGAACUUCCUGGUCAUCCACCAGCUCAGGUGUAAUGGUGUGCUGGAGGGUAUCAGAAUCUGCAGAAAAGGUUUCCCCAGCAGAAUCCUCUAUGGUGACUUCAAGCAGAGGUAUCAAUGGAUUAAAUAGAGAUUUGGUUCAGGGGGGGCUUUAAGGCAAUACUGACACUGACAAUGGGCUCUCUCAUUAUAGAUACAAGGUGCUGAAUGCCAGUGUCAUCCCUGAGGGCCAGUUCAUUGAUAACAAGAAGGCUUCAGAGAAGCUGCUUGGAUCAAUUGAUGUUGAUCAUGACCAGUACAGAUUUGGACACACCAAGGUACUGUACUUACUUCUAUGUAUUCUUAAGGUCUCUACCCAACAAGUCGAGUUUUUGCUUCAAGCUUGUAUAUUUCACUUUGUUGAUUAAAUGUGUGCAUUGUAAAAAACUUUGCUAAAAAAUUCAAGAACAUCACAAAGUCUUUCAAAUUCAGAAAGGUUUCAAGUUUUUUUCAAUAAAAUGUUUUUUGUUUUGCUGCAGUUUAAAAUUCAAUUCAUUGCUUUGGCUUGAUGUUUGCUCUUAAGAUAUUUUGAUUCUUUUUUUUUUUUGAUUAGGUGUUCUUCAAGGCUGGUCUCCUGGGUACCCUUGAGGAGAUGAGAGAUGAAAAACUGGCAAGUUUGGUCACCAUGACUCAGGCUCUCUGCCGUGGCUACCUGAUGAGAAAGGAGUUUGUGAAGAUGAUGGAGAGGAGGCAUGUUCAAAACGAUUGUGCUGAAUUAGAUUAUGGACGAGUAAAAAACUACAUUGUAACAGCAGCUUUUUGUCCACAGAGAGGCCAUCUAUACCAUCCAGUACAAUGUCCGCUCAUUCAUGAAUGUCAAACACUGGCCAUGGAUGAAGGUCUACUACAAGAUCAAGCCUCUUCUGAAGAGCGCUGAAACUGAGAAGGAGCUUCAGCAGAUGAAGGAGAACUAUGAGAAGAUGCAGACAGACCUGGCUGCUGCCCUGGCAAAGAAGAAGGAGCUGGAGGAGAAGAUGGUGUCCCUCCUGCAGGAGAAGAACGAUCUGCAGCUGCAAGUCGCAUCUGUAAGUCUGCAAUUAUGUUAUGUUUGAUUCUGUCAAAAUAAUGUGGAUCUGCUAAUCAAUGCUUCACAUUACGAACUAGGAAACAGAGAAUCUGUCAGAUGCUGAGGAGAGGUGUGAGGGUCUUAUCAAGAGUAAGAUUCAGCUGGAGGCCAAGCUCAAAGAGACAACUGAAAGACUGGAGGAUGAAGAGGAAAUCAAUGCUGAGCUCACUGCCAAAAAGAGGAAGUUGGAGGAUGAAUGCUCUGAGCUCAAGAAGGACAUCGAUGACCUGGAGCUUACCUUGGCCAAAGUGGAGAAGGAGAAACAUGCCACUGAGAACAAGGUCUGGGGAAAAACAAAUAUCUCACAUGUCAAAUAAAAUCAGGACAUUGCCACAUAGUACUAAAAAUAUUUUACUCACAAAUUUAGGUGAAGAACCUGACUGAAGAGAUGGCCUCUCAGGAUGAGAGCAUUGCCAAGUUGACCAAGGAAAAGAAAGCCCUUCAGGAGGCUCAUCAGCAGACCCUUGAUGAUCUGCAGGCUGAGGAAGACAAGGUCAACACUCUGACCAAGGCCAAGACUAAGCUUGAGCAGCAAGUGGAUGAUGUAAGUUUUUUUUAAGUCACUAUGCUAAACAAUUAAUAUGGAAGAAGAACCUGGUCUUUAAGAACAUGUAUUACCGUUUAGCUUGAAGGUUCUCUGGAGCAAGAGAAGAAGCUGCGCAUGGACCUUGAGAGAGCCAAGAGAAAGCUUGAGGGUGAUCUCAAACUGGCUCAAGAAUCCAUCAUGGACCUUGAGAAUGACAAGCAGCAAUCUGAGGAGAAAACGAAGAAGUAAUGUUCUUGACAUUAAAUCAAAAGAAUACAACUAGAUCAUCAACAACAGCAAAAACUCCAACUAUGAAUUUUUCUGUUAUCCCCACAGGAAGGACUUUGAGAUCAGCCAGCUCCUCAGCAAGAUUGAGGAUGAGCAGUCAAUGGGUGCUCAGCUUCAGAAGAAGAUCAAGGAGCUCCAGGUGACAUACUCACUCAAUUAAAAUAUACAUACAAAUGCUCAGUUCUUGGGUACAAAUUUACUGAAAGACAAUAUGCUUUCAUUACACAGGCCCGCAUUGAGGAACUGGAAGAGGAGAUUGAAGCAGAGCGUGCAGCUCGUGCCAAGGUUGAGAAGCAGAGGGCUGAUCUCUCCAGGGAACUUGAGGAGAUCAGUGAGAGGCUGGAGGAAGCUGGUGGUGCCACCGCUGCUCAGAUUGAGAUGAACAAGAAGCGCGAAGCUGAGUUCCAGAAGCUCCGUCGUGAUCUUGAGGAGUCCACUCUGCAGCAUGAAGCCACUGCUGCCGCUCUUCGUAAGAAACAGGCUGACAGCGUUGCUGAGCUGGGAGAGCAGAUCGACAACCUCCAGCGUGUCAAGCAGAAGCUUGAGAAGGAAAAGAGUGAAUACAAGAUGGAAAUUGAUGACCUCUCCAGCAACAUGGAGGCUGUUGCCAAAGCAAAGGUACAAAAGACAAUGGAUGUUAAAAUUAGUGCAUUGAACAAGGUCAUUUAUGUUACAUCUGAUCAUUGAUUUGACUUGUCUUUGUCUCUUCAGGGAAAUCUUGAAAAGAUGUGCCGUACCCUUGAGGACCAACUCAGUGAAAUUAAGACCAAGAAUGACGAAAAUGUCCGUCAAAUCAAUGACCUUGGUGGACAGAAAGCACGUCUCCUGACAGAAAAUGGUAGCUACAAGUUACAACUGAAUGAAUAAGUUUGUUUUGUAUCAUUUUUUAAAAUAUAACACAAACUAAUGUUUCACUGCACCUCUCUGACAAGGUGAGUUCGGCCGCCAAAUUGAAGAGAAGGAGGCUCUUGUCUCCCAGCUGACCAGAGGCAAACAGGCUUUCACUCAGCAGAUUGAGGAGCUGAAGAGACAUAUUGAAGAGGAGGUUAAGGUACGAAAACUUUUAUCAAGUGGAUUUAUAUUUUUGUAUGUGCGCUUCUGAAACAGGUAUUAAAAAGUAUUUGAUAUCUGACAUCAGGCCAAGAAUGCUCUUGCCCAUGGACUGCAAUCAGCCCGUCAUGACUGUGAUCUGCUGAGGGAGCAGUUUGAGGAGGAGCAGGAGGCUAAGGCUGAGCUGCAGCGUGGAAUGUCCAAGGCUAACAGCGAAGUGGCUCAGUGGAGAACCAAGUAUGAAACUGAUGCCAUCCAGCGCACAGAGGAACUGGAAGAAUCCAAGUGAGUCUAUAUCAAGCAAAUUACUAUACAUCUAAAUAACUGUUAUGAAAGUUACUACCAGUCAGUAGAGAUAUUGACCGUCACCAACUUCAUCCUCUCAACACAGGAAAAAGCUUGCCCAGCGCCUUCAGGAGGCUGAGGAGCAGAUUGAGGCUGUCAAUUCCAAGUGUGCCUCUCUGGAGAAAACCAAACAGAGACUCCAGAGUGAGGUGGAGGACCUCAUGAUUGAUGUGGAGAGAGCUAAUGGCCUGGCUGCCAACCUGGACAAGAAGCAGAGGAACUUUGACAAGGUAGUAUUUGCUUUUGUAACCUUCAUGUAAAUCAAAUGGGUAGUCAUUCCCAUUGACUCAACCAGUUGCUAAGAUAACUUGUUGCACUUCAGGUAUUGGCAGAAUGGAAACAGAAGUAUGAGGAGGGUCAGGCAGAGCUUGAGGGAGCUCAAAAGGAGGCUCGUUCUCUCAGCACUGAGCUGUUCAAGAUGAAGAACUCAUAUGAAGAGGCUCUGGAUCAGCUGGAGACCAUGAAGCGUGAAAACAAGAACCUGCAGCGUAAGUUAUCACUUUGUGCUCCAGACAUUCUGUUGAUAAAGUGUGUUCCUUUUGUAUUCAAUUCUCACUUUGUAUAUUGAGGCUUAACAACACAAAACAUUCAAAUACCUCUGCAGAGGAGAUCUCAGAUCUGACUGAACAGAUCGGUGAGACUGGCAAGAGCAUCCAUGAGCUGGAGAAGUCUAAGAAGCAGGUGGAGACUGAGAAGUCUGAGAUUCAGACUGCUCUUGAAGAGGCUGAGGUAUGUUUUUGGUUCAGGAGAGAACCCACAAGUAUUCUACUAUAGAAUGAUAUAUUACAAAAGGCACAAUUGUUGAGCUUCAAGACUGACUUUCCGUUGUCAUUAGGGAACCCUGGAACAUGAAGAGUCCAAGAUCCUCCGCGUCCAGCUGGAGCUCAACCAGAUCAAGGGUGAGGUGGACAGGAAGCUGGCAGAAAAAGAGGAGGAAAUGGAGCAGAUCAAGAGGAACAGCCAGAGGGUGAUUGACUCCAUGCAGAGCACUUUGGACUCUGAGGUCAGGAGCAGGAAUGAUGCCCUGAGAAUCAAGAAGAAGAUGGAGGGAGACCUGAAUGAGAUGGAGAUUCAGCUGAGCCAUGCCAAUCGCCAGGCUUCUGAGUCCCAGAAGCAGCUGAGGAACGUGCAGGCACAGCUGAAGGUACUGCUGCACAUAUAGACUGUGCAGAGAUUAUGGUCAUCAUACUUUUGUGUGGCCAGCCAUCUUCAUAUUUUCUUUACAUUUCUCACUAGGAUGCCCAACUGCACCUUGAUGAUGCUGUCAGAGCCCAGGAUGACCUCAAGGAACAAGCUGCUAUGGUGGAGCGCAGGAAUGGCCUCAUGGUUGCUGAAAUUGAGGAACUCAGAGCUGCUCUGGAACAGACAGAGAGGAGCCGCAAAGUGGCUGAGCAGGAGCUGGUGGACGCAAGUGAGCGUGUUGGACUUCUGCACUCACAGGUACUUUCCUUUGAGUUUCGCUACUUCAACAUUUAUCAUUAUUUCACGGGGAACAGUAACGGUACAUUAUUCUUUCUUUUUCUUUCAGAACACAAGCCUUCUGAACACCAAGAAGAAGCUUGAGUCUGACCUGGUCCAGGUUCAGAGUGAAGUGGAUGACACUGUUCAGGAAGCAAGGAAUGCUGAGGAGAAGGCCAAGAAGGCCAUCACUGAUGUAGGUGUUCUUGAAGUGUGGGACAUAUUGACUGAUCAGUGGGUGUUUUUACAAUAUUUCUUAUCAGUGAUUUUGUUUCCUCUAGGCUGCUAUGAUGGCUGAGGAGCUGAAGAAAGAGCAGGAUACUAGUUCUCACCUGGAGAGAAUGAAGAAGAACCUUGAGGUUGCUGUUAAGGACCUGCAGCACCGCCUGGAUGAGGCUGAGAACCUGGCCAUGAAGGGUGGCAAGAAGCAGCUCCAGAAACUUGAGUCUAGGGUAUGAAAGUUGUGUUUACAGUUUAGAAAAUUGAGUGUAGAAUUUUGAGAUAGUUAUAUUGAUAUAUUCAAUGUUUUUCUGUUUUGUUAAGGUGCGUGAGCUGGAAGGUGAAGUUGAUGCUGAGCAGAGACGUGGAGCUGAUGCUGUUAAGGGUGUCCGCAAAUAUGAGAGGAGGGUGAAGGAGCUCACCUAUCAGGUAUUGUCACACUGACACUUAACAAAAUCAAUUUGGCAUACCUAUUGUCUUGUCAAAAUCAUUCUUUAAUUGCAUGUUUACCUUUAAUUAAAGACUGAGGAGGACAAGAAGAAUGUUGCCAGGCUUCAGGAUCUGGUUGACAAGCUGCAACUGAAGGUGAAAGCCUACAAGAGGCAGGCUGAGGAAGCGGUAAGAGACAUGGUUUUAUUCUUUACUCAUAUGAAGAUAAUAGAACAAUAUGUUUCGAGACAAAUUCUUCUUUUAUUACAAAUCUAUUCAUUCAUGCUCCAGAAAAGUAGACGUUUACAAAAGCAGAUAAAUAUAAAAUUUUCUAAAUUAAGACAUAUGAGCCUCAAAGUCAUAUGUCUCUAGUAGAAUUUCUUGCUUCUCUAUUUCAAAUAAAUUAAGCUAUGACUAUCUCAUUCCAACUUUACUUCUUAAAUUGUGUCAGGGUACAGCGAAUGACCCUCAAUUUUAAAUACAAUGUCAUAAUAUGGAACCUCUUAAUUUUAUGUGUCAACCACAUAAUCAGCCCCUUUUUAAUUAAUUAAAAUCUCAAAUAGGUCACUACCUAAUGCAAUUUGUAUUGUUUUCCAGGAGGAGCAGGCCAAUGUUCAUCUGUCCAAGUGCAGGAAGAUCCAGCAUGAGCUGGAGGAGGCUGAGGAGCGUGCUGACAUUGCAGAGUCUCAGGUUAACAAACUGAGGGCCAAGAGCCGUGACUCCAGCAAGGUAAAUCAAUUGUUUUAUCAGAGACAGUAAGUGUUAGGCUUUCAAUGUUUCAUCAACUUAACUCUUUCUCUUUGUGUGUCUUCAGGGAAAAGAGGCUGAGUAAAGUGCGCUGACUAUUGUGCUUCAAUUUUUCUUAUCAUAAAAUAUGAUGUGAAAAAUGAAAUAAAAACCUUUG